AGGCAAUUAGAUUAGUCAGGCAUGACUUGCCCUUGCUGAAUCCAUGCUGACUGUUCCUGAUCACUUUCCUCUCCUCUAAGUGCUUAAGAAUUGAUUCCUUGAGGACCUGCUUCAUGAUUUUUUGCAGGGACUGUGGUGAGGCUGAGUGGCCUGUAGUUCCCAGGAUCCUCCUUCUUCCCUUUUUUAAAGAUGGGCACUACAUUAGCUUUUUUCCACUGUUACUUCAGCA